UACAGAGGUCUCAAGCGUUGUUCGGAUUCAUUGGGCGUAAAGGGUGCGUAGGUGGCGGGGUAAGUCUGGUGUGAAAUCCCGGGGCUCAACCCCGGAACUGCACUGGAUACUGCUUUGCUAGAGUACUGGAGAGGGAACUGGAAUUUACGGUGUAGCAGUGAAAUGCGUAGAUAUCGUAAGGAAGACCAGUGGCGAAGGCGAGUUCCUGGACAGUUACUGACACUGAGGCACGAAGGCCAGGGGAGCAAACGGG
rnacentral:rRNA from 1 species